CGACUUAUAUUUCAAAUACAUUUAGACUUUCUCGAGCUCGAACCAAGACAAGAAAAUCAAACCGGCUAAAAAGAGACACAAUGACUUCAAAUGUUACUAAACUGCUAGAAUUUAUGUCAAAGAUAGGACAGCUUAAGAGAGUUAAGCGAACAGGUUGGGUAUUAAGGAGAGUGCAGGAACCAGAAAGUGUCUCAGAUCACAUGUAUAGAAUGGCCAUUAUGUCAAUGCUGCUGACACCUGAAAAAUAUCCAAAUAUAGACAAAGAAAGAUGUAUCAAGCUAGCACUGGUACAUGACAUGGCUGAAUGUAUAGUGGGAGAUAUAGCACCAGCUGAUGGCAUUAGCAAAGAAGAAAAACAUAAAAGAGAACAGAAUGCAAUGAGUGAACUUGGUGACCUGAUAGCUGAUGAAGAGACGCAAAAGGAAAUUCAUGGACUUUGGGAGGAGUAUGAGCACCAGAGCAGUGAGGAGGCAAAGGUUGUAAAAGACCUGGACAGAUUUGAGAUGGUACUACAGGCCCAUGAGUAUGAGGUCCAAGAGAACAGACCAGGGGAACUACAGGACUUCUUUGAUUCUACAAAAGGUAAGUUCCAGCAUCCAGGAGUGCAGGAAUGGGUAGACCAACUCUAUAGCAACAGAGACAAACAUCUCCAAACCAAAUCAUCACAUAACCCAAAGAAACAGAAACUUGACAGGACUUCAAAUACUCAAGCAACUGAUUCUGAAUCUAGUUAAUGGAUAGUGAAACAGUACAUAGAUAAAUAGAGGCUAGAGUAUCACAUUCCGAUAUUCAUUUAGUGUUCAUUAGACACUAUCACUAAUCUACCUGAAGGGAAAAUUGACAUUUAAACACGCACAACCCUUUAUUCACUAUAUACAUGUGUAAAUGUAUUUGAAUAUGAUAUUAUAAUACCCAAGAAUACAGUAAGAACAUUCUAAUCUAAAUACCCCUAUGACUGACCAAAAGCAUUUCGAAUUGGCAUGUCAGUGAGAGGAACUAAGAAAUAUUAGAAUGUGCAAGUUUGACUGUACACUAGUAGCCAGUUAUUUACAGAAAGAUGCAAUUUGUUAAGUGGGACUGUCUGUAUUUGUUCAGCAGAAUGAACAUCAUAACCUUGAAGCUACAUGAACUUUAAUCAAAUCAAGCUGUAGAAAAAGUGCACAUUUUGAAGUGGUUAUUGUGGCUGCUGACUUUGGUGAAGAACAUGAAUAAUUUGAAGAACAUGAUUUCCAGAGUGCUUAGAAUCUCACAUCGAAUCAGACUGUCUCUUGACCUCCUUCCCUCGAUCUACUUUUAUAUCUUUUGGGAGGGCAUUGUUUGAGGUCACAAAAGCAAAAUUAGACGAGUGUCACUCUACAGGUUAGUUGAACAUGACUGCCAUCUAUAGAAUCAUUUAUAAGUAUAUUACUCAUUGAGGAGUUUUUUAAGAGGUGUUCAGAAGCAAUUUUUAGUCGUCCAAUUAAUCAUAUUUUCAACAUCAGAGCAAUACACUAAUGUGCAACUUUUAAGUCAACAGUCCAUUUACAGUGGAGUUCUGUGAGAAAUAUACAAAAGAAAUUGUACAAAAAAACAGAUCAGAGGAACAAUUUAAAACCUUGUUACGACAAUUCAGUUUUGUUGUACAUCUAUCGACAAAAUAGUGUUAUUGUAUGAAAGGACCACAUGCUCAAGGAUUGGAUUUUAUUUUUAUGUAUGUAGUUAUUUUAAAUGUUACUUCAGGUAAGAGUCAACUACCCUUCUGAUAACAUAUUGAUCUCUUUGGU
rnacentral:misc_RNA from 1 species